rnacentral:rRNA from 1 species
AACGAACGCUGGCGGCAUGCCUAACACAUGCAAGUCGAACGAGACCUUCGGGUCUAGUGGCGCACGUGUGCGUAACGCGUGGGAACCUGCCCUUAGGUUCGGAAUAACUCCCCGAAAGGGGUGCUAAUACCGGAUAAUGUCUUCGGACCAAAGAUUUAUCGCCUUUGGAUGGGCCCGCGUUGGAUUAGCUAGUUGGUAGGGUAAAAGCCUAUCAAGGCGACGAUCCAUAGCUGGUCUGAGAGGAUGAUCAGCCACACUGGGACUUAGACACGGCCCAGACUCCUACGGGAGGCAGCAGUGGGGAAUAUUGGACAAUGGGCGAAAGCCUGAUACAGCAAUGCCGCGUGAGUGAUGAAGGCCUUAGGGUUGUAAAGCUCUUUUACCCGGGAUGAUAAUGACAGUACCGGGAGAAUAAGCUCCGGCUAACUCCGUG